rnacentral:rRNA from 1 species
GACGAACGCUGGCGGCGUGCUUAACACAUGCAAGUCGAACGGAAAGGCCCCUUUGGGGGUCCUCGAGUGGCGAACGGGUGAGUAACACGUGAGUAACCUGCCCUUGACUUCGGGAUAACUUCAGGAAACUGGGGCUAAUACCGGAUAGGAAUCCUUGCUGCAUGGUGGGGGUUGGAAAGCUUCGGCGGUUUUGGAUGGACUCGCGGCUUAUCAGCUUGUUGGUGGGGUAGUGGCUUACCAAGGCUUUGACGGGUAGCCGGCCUGAGAGGGCGACCGGCCACAUUGGGACUGAGAUACGGCCCAGACGCCGACGGGAGGCAGCAGGGGGGAAGAUUGCACAAUGGGCGGAAGCCGGAUGCAGCAACGCCGCGUGCGGGAUGACGGCCUUCGGGUUGUAAACCGCUUUCAGCAGGGGCGAAGCUUGUGGUGACGGUACCUGCAGAAGAAGCACCGGCUAACUACGUG